GAUGAACGCUGGCGGCGUGCCUAAUACAUGCAAGUCGAGCGAACGGACGAGAAGCUUGCUUCUCUGAUGUUAGCGGCGGACGGGUGAGUAACACGUGGAUAACCUACCUAUAAGACUGGGAUAACUUCGGGAAACCGGAGCUAAUACCGGAUGAUAUUUUGAACCGCAUGGUUCAAAAGUGAAAGACGGUCUUGCUGUCACUUAUAGAUGGAUCCGCGCUGCAUUAGCUAGUUGGUAAGGUAACGGCUUACCAAGGCAACGAUGCAUAGCCGACCUGAGAGGGUGAUCGGCCACACUGGAACUGAGACACGGUCCAGACUCCUACGGGAGGCAGCAGUAGGGAAUCCUCCGCAAUGGGCGAAAGCCUGACGGAGCAACGCCGCGUGAGUGAUGAAGGUCUUCGGAUCGUAAAACUCUGUUAUUAGGGAAGAACAUAUGUGUAAGUAACUGUGCACAUCUUGACGGUACCUAAUCGGAAAGCCACGGCUAACUACGUG
rnacentral:rRNA from 1 species